UCCUUUCACUCUCCACCCCCGUCUCCCCCUUUCUCUCUUCUCUCCCACUCCCUCCCUCUCUGCUGUCCAUAAACCACUCUGGGGCUUUUUUUUCUCUCCUUAAUAUAUAUAUAAAGAUUAAAGUGUGUGUGGGCUGUUCAUACUUACCCUCAAAUUUAGGAGAGCACCCUACUCUGAGCUGUAAAUGCACAUUGGGCACGGGAAGACGUACAGUAUAAUAUGGAAAGCAAUACUGAUUGAUUUGCAUACUAUAGUGAAUUUCAUACACUGCCACAGGACCAUAUACAUUGGAUUGUCUAUCUGGUUACUCUUGUUUAUCUUCUUCUGGAUAUUAUGCUGCUCUUCAAAUGUUGGUUUUUGGAUGAGAGUCACAGACUUGUGCAGGUGGAUGGCUAGGGGAAGAUGAGUGUCAAGGACCAGUACCACCACCUCUAGUACGGACCUCAUGGCCGGAUGGCAUUGGUGCAGUGCCACAUGCCGCUCAUGGAAUGAAGCCAUAGAGAACAGGAAGUCAGAGCCAGCAUCAGCACCUGAUUGUCUUGUUGGCUUUGGUCCAUUCUUGGUGAUUGCGGCUCAUUACUGUGUGAGGCUAAAGAAAAACAUGAGGUUGAACCAAGAUGUAUGCCGGCCUGAGGGAAUCUCGCCCUGACCAAGGAGUAUGGUGCUAUGAAUCAGGCACAUUCUUGAUGAUAGUUGGAUUCAUCUUUUUGUUUUCUUUGGGUCGUGUUUGAACAGCAUACAGCAGACCAGACAUUAACUUUGAAAGCGAACGUAAAAAGAUCCAGUAGAUCACUCUAUGAACUGGAUUCAGUUUGGGAGAAAAAGAAUAUUGGAUCCGCACUCCCCAAAUUCAUCAAAAACUUUUGCAUAUGUAGCUACUCCUGUUAGCUUGAGAGAGAUGAGCCAAUGGGAGGAAGGAUGGAAAUUUGACUGAUCAAAAGUUUGGAACUAUUAUACACACCAUAGUUUAUGUAAUUUUUUUUUUGUAAUUUUUAUUUAUUUUCUAUAAUUAUUAUGUAUACUGUGAUUAAAAUCGUGUUUCUAUUAUUGUUUAAAUGCUCUAAGGUUAUAUAGAAUGCAAAGAGGUUUUGACACUCAGGUUGAUGGGUCAGUAUAAUAAUAUUGGACAUAACACUUAAUAAUACAUAGAAGCCAAGGGUGGAUUGUAACAGUAUUGAUUUCUGACCUACAGCUAACUAUUUGUCUUCUAUGUAUAAAAUGUGUACACAUAGCCAUAUACUGUAUUUGUGUUGUAAGACUUUAGUUUUCCAUCUUUGUAGGAACAAGCUGUUUGUUCUUUAUAGUAUGUUAACAAGCAAUUGUUAACAUUUUAGCUUACAUAAUAGGCCAGACAAUAGGUCUAUUCAUGAUCAACAAACAGAUGUUUACCUUUGAUUAAGUGGCCUAGACAUCUAAAAUAUGCAAAGGCUAUUUGUCCUACAUUAGAAUUCAAUACAACAAUAGAUUUCCUAAUAUUGUACAAGUGACCAGGGACUCCAAUGACAUGUGGAUGGAGAUAUGAUCCCUUGACCACCUCUCAGAAGUCUGGGUUAAAUAGAAGGUCAUGUCAGACUGAUAGCAGCCUCCAUUGAGACCUGAGAUUGGCAAUAGGGUUCCUUUGACUGACGAGACCUAGGCGCUACGCAGCGACAGGAGGCUCCCUGGGACUACACCUUAUGCUAGGACUCUGAUUAUCCUGUAUAACUGCCUUAAGGAACGUGGAUAAGUAUAUUUUAAUUAUUGUCAAUGAUAUUGUAAAUAAAUGAUUUGU